rnacentral:pre_miRNA from 1 species
CCAAGGUUCAUGAACUCAUCGAUGAAAAUCCACUGUCACAUAUAGAAAAUUUUUCAAUAUGUGACUGGAUUUUCGUCGAUGAGUUCAUGAACCUU